GACGAAGGUGGCGAGCGUUGUUCGGAAUCACUGGGCGUAAAGCGCACGUAGGCGGCGACGUAAGUUGGGUGUGAAAUCCCUCGGCCCACCCGAGGAACUGCGCCCAGUACUGCGUUGCUUGAGGAUCGAAGGGGUGCAUGGAAUUCCGCGUGUAGCAGUGAAAUGCGUAGAGAUGCGGAGGAACACCGAUGGCGAAGGCAGCCCCCUGGGCUGACACUGACGCUGAGGCACGAAAGCGUGGGGAGCAAACAGG
rnacentral:rRNA from 1 species